UGGAUGCAGAUGAGCAGACAUGAGUUUAUGUGUAAUUUGUGUCAGCCAUUUUUGUUAUGUCACUCUUUUCACCUUGGAGGUCUGAUGCACCCC
rfam:Hordeum vulgare subsp. vulgare, WGS project CAJW01000000 data, contig: morex_contig_1569478